rnacentral:lncRNA from 1 species
CAAACGAAUAGGCGGCAACAAGGAAACACCUUUCUGUAUAUGGGAAACUCCUGCUGUGUUGUGAAAACAGGAAUUCCUACCAUGGACUUGGAGAUUUAAUAAUCCGUGUUUUAAAAUACUUGAGGCAUCCAGUGGAAUGAACUGUACAGAUUUUGCCCUCUGUUGUGCUAUGAAAAUGAAAUGUAUGGAAGCUGAAGGCUUUGCUGCUGGAAGCCUCAUGGAGACAAUGUGAACUUGUGAGCACGGCCAGAAUUGGAUGCAUUUGAGACUGAUCCUUGAAGGAAGGAGUAAGUAAGAAAUGUCUAAUCCAUGCCACACAAAGAUGUGCAGGACCCCAAACAGCUGGAAUGUCUCUGACAGUCAGUGACACUUCUCCUCAUGAGCUGCUUUGCUUUUUUUUUACUGAGCUCCCUCUCAUGGAGUGCUUUGGCUACCUUUAACUGCAUGUUGUGAUUUCACCUGGCAGCUUUCAGCGCUCCCCAGCAGCUGAAGGAUGUGGAUAAAACAUGAGAAACACUGUAAGAAAACAAAGCUGUCUCUUGUAAUAUUUGAGAGCAUUUUUAAAGUGAAGUUUCUGUGACACUUCAGUGCAGCAGCGCUUGGUGAAAGUGGAGAGGUGUUUUAUUUAUGAGUUUCAAUGAAGUUGAGGUUGCUUCUUCCUCUUUCGUAUAAACCAGACAGUCUUAGGAGUAAAUAACAUCCCAU